rnacentral:lncRNA from 1 species
GGACUUCACCUUUGUUUCCCUAUCCUAAUGGUUCACUAAGUUUAUUGUAAACUAUGUAGUGAACAAUAACCACAAGCUCUCCAAAUUGUUUGAUGUGUAUAACACAAUUGAAAAAGGUUUCAAGAGAGAUAGUGGGAGUUUAGGGACCAUGACUAAUGUAGUCAAAGGUGAAAGUCAAAUAAAGAAGUUAAAAAUUAACUCCAAGGGAACAAACUUUCUUUAUGAAAGGAUGGACAUUGGAAGGGGUAUUUGCAAGAAAUGUCUUGCAAGUGUCAAGAACACGCCUUUCAAAGGUGUUGUAAAAUGUUCUUGAAUAGUUCAAAACAGUUGGUUCUUCUACUUGAAUGCUUGAUUCCGUAUUAGUAACUAUGUUUUACAAUCGUUGUAAAAGUGUGACUAAUAAGAAGUAGAAGAUAUAUGAGAGAAGGAAAAGGUACUUCACAUUCGGAACGUGAAUAAAAUAUAGAUCUUUGCGAAAGCAGAUAGUACUUACUUCCUCAUAUGAACUACCAAAGAAAUUGGAAAAACCAAAGAUUGUCUUUACAU